GAUGAACGCUAGCUACAGGCUUAACACAUGCAAGUCGAGGGGAAACGACAUCGAAAGCUUGCUUUUGAUGGGCGUCGACCGGCGCACGGGUGAGUAACGCGUAUCCAACCUGCCCAUCACUUGGGAAUAACCUUGCGAAAGUAAGACUAAUACCCAAUGACAUCCCACGAAGACAUCUGAAUGGGAUUAAAGAUUUAUCGGUGAUGGAUGGGGAUGCGUCUGAUUAGCUUGUUGGCGGGGUAACGGCCCACCAAGGCAACGAUCAGUAGGGGUUCUGAGAGGAAGGUCCCCCACAUUGGAACUGAGACACGGUCCAAACUCCUACGGGAGGCAGCAGUGAGGAAGAGUGGGCAAUGGGCGAGAGCCUGAACCAGCCAAGUAGCGUGCAGGAGGACGGCCCUAUGGGUUGUAAACUGCUUUUAUAAGGGAAUAAAGUGGGUCUCGUGAGACUUUUUGCAUGUACCUGAUGAAUAAGGACCGGCUAAUUCCGUG
rnacentral:rRNA from 1 species